UACGUAGGCAGCGAGCGUUGUUCGGAAUUACUGGGCGUAAAGAGUGUGUAGGCGGUGCUCUAAGUUCGGUGUGAAAUCUCCCGGCUCAACUGGGAGGGUGCGCCGAAUACUGAAUGACUUGGAGUGCGGGAGAGGAAAGUGGAAUUCCUGGUGUAGCGGUGAAAUGCGUAGAUAUCAGGAGGAACACCGGUGGUGUAGACGGCUUUCUGGACCGUAACUGACGCUGAGACACGAAAGCGUGGGUAGCAAACAGG
rnacentral:rRNA from 1 species